rnacentral:rRNA from 1 species
UACGAAGGGGGCUAGCGUUGCUCGGAAUCACUGGGCGUAAAGGGUGCGUAGGCGGGUUUUUAAGUCAGGGGUGAAAUCCUGGAGCUCAACUCCAGAACUGCCUUUGAUACUGAAAAUCUUGAGUCCGGGAGAGGUGAGUGGAAUUGCGAGUGUAGAGGUGAAAUUCGUAGAUAUUCGCAAGAACACCAGUGGCGAAGGCGGCUCACUGGCCCGGUACUGACGCUGAGGCACGAAAGCGUGGGGAGCAAACAGG